UGGGGAAUUUUGGACAAUGGGCGAAAGCCUGAUCCAGCAAUGCCGCGUGUGUGAAGAAGGCCUUCGGGUUGUAAAGCACUUUUGUCCGGAAAGAAAUCCUUGGCUCUAAUACAGUCGGGGGAUGACGGUACCGGAAGAAUAAGCACCGGCUAACUACGUGCCAGCAGCCGCGGUAAUACGUAGGGUGCAAGCGUUAAUCGGAAUUACUGGGCGUAAAGCGUGCGCAGGCGGUUUGCUAAGACCGAUGUGAAAUCCCCGGGCUCAACCUGGGAACUGCAUCGGUGACUGGCAGGCUAGAGUAUGGCAGAGGGGGGUAAAUUCCACGUGUAGCAGUGAAAUGCGUAGAGAUGUGGAGGAAUACCGAUGGCGAAGGCAGCCCCCUGGGCCAAUACUGACGCUCAUGCACGAAAGCGUGGGGAGCAAACAGGAUUAGAUACCCUGGUAGUCCACGCCCUAAACGAUGUCAACUAGUUGUUGGGGAUUCAUUUCCUUAGUAACGUAGCUAACGCGUGAAGUUGACCGCCUGGGGAGUACGGUCGCAAGAUUAAAACUCAAAUGAAUUGACGGGGUCAUAGCUGUUUCCU
rnacentral:rRNA from 1 species